ACGUUGGCGGCGUGCCUAAUACAUGCAGUCGAACGAAGAGCUUGGAGUACAAUACCCUGAGUACUCUUAGUGGCGAACGGGUGAGUAACGCGUUGGUGACCUACCCCAAAGAUAGGGAUAACAGUUCGAAAGGACUGCUAAUACCUUAUGUUGUCAUUUUGAUUAGAUGCUAAAUGACUAAAGGAGCUUGCUCCGCUUUGGGAGGGGCCUGCGUCCCAUCAGCUAGUUGGUAGGGUAAUGGCCUACCAAGGCGAUGACGGGUAGGGGACCUGAGAGGGUGGCCCCCCACAAUGGAACUGAAACACGGUCCAUACACCUACGGGUGGCAGCAGUAGGGAAUAUUGGUAAUGUGCGAAAGCGCGAACCAGCAACGCCGCGUGUGCGAAGACGGCCUUCGGGUUGUAAAGCACUUUUCGGGAGGAAGAGGAAGGACUGUACUCCCGGAAUAAGUCUCGGCUAACUACGUGCCAGCAGCCGCGGUAAUACGUAGGAGGCAAACGUUAUCCGGAUUUACUGGGCGUAAAGCGCGUGCAGGCUGUUCAAUAAGUUGGGCGUGAAAGCUCCCGGCUCAACUGGGAGAGGUCGUUCAAUACUGUUGGACUAGAGGAUGGUAGAGGAAGGUGGAAUUCCGGGUGUAGUGGUGAAAUGCGCAGAUAUCCGGAGGAACACCAGUGGCGAGAGCGGCCUUCUGGACCAUUCCUGACGCUCAGACGCGAAAGCUAGGGUAGCGAACGGGAUUAGAGACCCCGGUAGUCCUAGCUGUAAACGAUGUGAACUUGGCGUCGGUGGGAUUAAAUCCAUCGGUGUCGUAGCUAACGCGAUAAGUUCACCGCCUGAGGACUACGGCCGCAAGGUUAAAACUCAAAGGAAUUGACGGGGACCCGCACAAGCAGCGGAGCGUGUGGUUUAAUUCGUUGCUACACGAAGAACCUUACCUGGGUUUGACAUAUAGGUUGUAGGGAACUGAAAAGGGACCGACCCUUCGGGGAGCCUAUACAGGUGUUGCAUGGCUGUCGUCAGCUCGUGUCGUGAGAUGUUCGGUUUAAGUCCGCUAACGAGCGCAACCCUCGCCGUAUGUUAUACGUGUCAUACGGGACUGCCGGUAAUAAGCCGGAGGAAGGUGGGGAUGAUGUCAAGUCAGCAUGACCUUUAUUAUCCAGGGCUACACACACGCUACAA
rnacentral:rRNA from 1 species